GAUGAAGAACGUAGCGAAAUGCGAUAAGUAAUGUGAAUUGCAGAAUUCAGUGAAUCAUCGAAUCUUUGAACGCACAUUGCGCCCAUUAGUAUUCUAGUGGGCAUGCCUGUUCGAGCGUCAUUUCAACCCUUAAGCCUAGCUUAGUAUUGGGAAUCGACUUUACUGUCGUUCCUCAAAUUCAACGGCGGAUUUAUAACAAUCUCUGAACGUAGUAAUUUUUUUCCUCGUUUUUGAAAUACUAUAAACCUCAGCCGCUAAACCCCCAAUUUUUUUAUGGUUGACCUCGGAUCAGGUAGGAAUACCCGCUGAACUUAAGCAUAUCAAUAAGCGGAGGA
rnacentral:misc_RNA from 1 species